ACAGCUUUGGACAAAGUCUAUAGCCAGUGCAUUUGAAACUCCCCUUGCACAAGGGCUGACUGUUAGCUGGGGAGAGACAGUUUACUCCUUUGCGCUCCUUUCAUGCAGUCAGCUGGCCCUCUUCUCAGGUGUAGAUCACCUAUUAUCAUUUCACCUGUUUUGAUUCUCUGAUGAGGAAAAUCCCAGGACUUAUCAGCUGGGCUAGGCCUCAUUUCAAAGACAGCUCU
rnacentral:lncRNA from 1 species